UAAGAAAAUGCACACAUAGCUGACCACUGUAUUGUCAACUACCAAGCUUGUUCUCGAGUUUUACUGACACUACCCCUUUAUGCUGCAAGGCAAUUAUUCAUAUAAUGUUAUAGCUUUCCAGUUGUAUUGAUAUAUGGAAAUAAUGAUAUUUAUUAUAUUAUAAGCAGUGUUAUAUAAAGUAGCACCUAUUGUUAACUGACCCUUCACAAUGUCUACAUCUGAAACCUUUUCCUAUGAAUAAGAUGUUAGAAUAACCCCAAUCUGUUUACAAUACAUACACUGUUUAUUAGGAUUUACAUUGCAGGCACCUCUUUUCCACUGACUUGCUUAAGAUAUCUGUACUUUAGUUGCUUCAAACAGGUAAGUA